rnacentral:misc_RNA from 1 species
UUUUUUUUUUUUUGAUAAAUUUGAUUUACUUUUUUUUUUAUUUGUGAAUUGUUUAAGUAUUCGUGGUCAUCUUUGGGUUCUGUAGCUUGGUGUACUGUCGUGAAAUUGAUGCUCAUAACAAGCACAGGUUUAUUUUUGGGAGUUAGAGAGAGAGCAAAGAAGAUUAGUUGUCUCGCAAAAUAUCUUAUAGUUUGUCAGAUUCGAGGAAGUAAUGCUUGUAUCUCCUGAAACAAUAUAAUUUCUGUAGAAGCUGGAAUUCCUCCAGUUGUUAGCUUUGUGUCAGAACUUGAAGGAGAAUUGAUGAAGCCAAAGUCAUGUAGAGAAGGGUAUAGUACAUAAUCCAAAAUAGGAAUCUCACCUUUAGGAGAAACAUCUGGCGAUAGGAUUAUACAAUAUAUUGACCUUCAUAUUUAUUCUUGUAUGGUUUCUCGGAUUCUGAAUUUGGGCCAUGAAUUCUCGCUUCCUACUGAUUUUGGCCAUAUAUUGCUAACUAUUCUGUAGUUGGUAUCGUAGUAUGCAUGUGUCCAUUUCAGCAGCACAUUAAAAUUUCAAAAUUUCAGAGUCCUGCCUAGAAUCAAAGGUUUCACAAGUUAAUUAUUGAGGAAAAGUAUCGAGUUUUGGUGCAGCUACAAUAUGAAUCUGGUCAUGGAGUUGAAAUUGGUUUCUUGGCCUUAAGAUUUCAAGCAAAUCAUUUUUAGUCUCUCGAUUUCAUUGUUGGUGAGAAGUCUAUAUGUUGGCUUGCCCAGGUGAUGCUGCCUUCUCUGCUUCAUGAACGGUUGAAGCAAAGAAUUCACUGGGGAACAACAAGCUGCCAUUGUUUAUACAAAAGAAUAAAUGUUGUGGAUCCUGUCUAUUAUGUUAUGUGCUGACGUUAUAUUCUGAUAUACUUCAAAUUUAGAAAUGGAGCUUGAUCCCAAUUCCCAGUUGAGCUAGGAACUGCAACAUCCCUUUAUUUUCAGAGGCCUUGUCUUGACUAGCCUUCAAAGAACAGGCUAAUUUAUGACGUCGAGAACUUCUACAAACUGUUUUGAGUCUUUGAGUCAGAAAAGCAAGAUUGAAAAAUGAGCCCUCGUCAACUUUUAUAAUUUGGCUAAGAUUAUCAUUUUCUAGUAAUUUCAACUCUAAGAGACUGUGUAUGAUGGCUUUGAAUUUCUUGAUUGAAAGUACCAUUUUAGGUUUAUUAUUAACCCUAAUCUAAUUCCUAUGCACACACACACACACACACA